CCUACGGGAGGCAGCAGUGAGGAAUAUUGGUCAAUGGACGAGAGUCUGAACCAGCCAAGUAGCGUGAAGGAUGACUGCCCUAUGGGUUGUAAACUUCUUUUAUAUGGGAAUAAAAUGUUCCACGUGUGGGAUUUUGUAUGUACCAUAUGAAUAAGGAUCGGCUAACUCCGUGCCAGCAGCCGCGGUAAUACGGAGGAUCCGAGCGUUAUCCGGAUUUAUUGGGUUUAAAGGGAGCGUAGGUGGGUUGUUAAGUCAGUUGUGAAAGUUUGCGGCUCAACCGUAAAAUUGCAGUUGAAACUGGCAGUCUUGAGUACAGUAGAGGUGGGCGGAAUUCGUGGUGUAGCGGUGAAAUGCUUAGAUAUCACGAAGAACUCCGAUUGCGAAGGCAGCUCACUGGACUGCAACUGACACUGAGGCUCGAAAGCGUGGGUAUCGAACAGGAUUAGAUACCCCAGUAGUC
rnacentral:rRNA from 1 species